AGAGGGAGGAAAACAGAGAAAAUCACAACACAGUAAAGGUUUGUUAUACUUUGAUUUUGGUUAAGAACUCUGGAGUUCAAAAGGACUUGGACUUCCAAUUCUGACUUUUCUGGCUGUGUGACAUCGGGGAACUCAUUAAGCUCCCCAUGACUCAGUGUUCUCAUCUAGACAAUGGGUCUAUUAGCAGCAUCCAUUUCAUUUUGGUGUUGUGAACAUUCAGUGAAGUCUUACAUGUAAAGCAUUUAGUGUAACAAUUAACACAUGCAAGUCCAUGCUGUACUUAUGGUGCUGGUUGGUACUGCAUCUAUAUGUUACCUCUUCUAGGACUUGAACUGUGAAGAACAAUGAGACAUCACACCACUGAUGGUGGGAAGCAAGAUCAUCUUUAGUGAAGAUACAGUGUUAUAGACCUGGAAGAAACCUCCAUCCUCAAAGACUUGGAAAAGGCUGUCCUGGAGCCUGCGUGGAGGUUACAAAAACCAUCCCUCUGGUGGUGGCCUGAGCAGAUGACUUCAACCCCAAUGUUGCCCUGAACGUUGCAUUCAAGAUUUGAGAAGAUUAGGACUGCUAAGGUAUGGACUU
rnacentral:lncRNA from 1 species